GAUGAACGCUGGCGGCGUGCCUAAUACAUGCAAGUCGAGCGAAGCGGGGACGGGUGAGUAACACGUGGAUAACCCCCUAUAAGACUGGGGUAACUUCGGGAAAACGGAGUCAAACCGGAAACUUAUCGCUGGAUCUGCGCGGCAUUAGCUAGUUGGUAAGGUAACGGCUUACCAAGGCAACGAUGCAUAGACGGCCUGAGAGGGUGAUCGGCCAAACUGGAACUGAGACACGGUCCAGACGCCUACGGGAGGAAGCAGUAGGGAAUCUUGCGCAAGGGGCGAAAGCCUGACGGAGCAACGCCGCGUGUGUGAUGAAGGUCGUCGGGUCGUAAAGCUCUGUUAUUAGGGAAGCGGUGCCUGAUCAGGAAGCCCCGGCUAACUACGUGCCAGCAGCCGCGGUAAUUC
rnacentral:rRNA from 1 species